GUCCUCGUAGCUUAAUUGGAUAGAGCUUUGGUUUGCGGAACCAAAGGUUGGGCGUUCGAGUCGCCCCGAGGACA
rnacentral:tRNA from 1 species